GAGAUUUGGUUCAGUGCUUGAUAUCAUUCCGCUAGCUAAUUCAGUCACAAAGCUUACAGCAAGGCGAAAAUAAACUAAUUUGAAUGAGGUGAUGAGACUUGGGUUGACAAUAAAUAAGUACAAUCCUACAUGACAUGAACCAGCAGGAUCCUAAUAUGGAUGGUGAUCAUGUGGAUGAAGAUCAAAUGUUGGACAUAGAAGCGGAAGAAGAUGAUGCUAUAUAACAUGAUUUUUUAGUACAAGUACUGAUAGUGGAUGAAGCUCAAAUGUGGAUGCAGAUCAAAUGUUUUGAUCAGUAAUGAUAGAUGACAAAUGAUUUUAUAUUUUGUGUGCAAAGAUUUAAGUUUAAGGUAGAGAAAUAUUAAGACAAAUGUGGAUCAAGAUGAUGCAUACUUUGUUAAUUAGUAUA